GACGAACGCGGCGGCGUGCCUAAUACAUGCAAGUAGAACGCUGAAGGAGGAGCUUGCUUCUCUGGAUGAGUUGCGAACGGGUGAGUAACGCGUAGGUAACCUGCCUGGUAGCGGGGGAUAACUAUUGGAAACGAUAGCUAAUACCGCAUAACAGUAGAUAUCGCAUGAUAGCUGCUUGAAAGGUGCAAUUGCACCACUACCAGAUGGACAUGCGUUGUAUUAGCUAGUUGGUGGGGUAACGGCUCACCAAGGCAACGAUACAUAGCCGACCUGAGAGGGUGAUCGGCCACACUGGGACUGAGACACGGCCCAGACUCCUACGGGAGGCAGCAGUAGGGAAUCUUCGGCAAUGGACGGAAGUCUGACCGAGCAACGCCGCGUGAGUGAAGAAGGUUUUCGGAUCGUAAAGCUCUGUUGUAAGAGAAGAACGAGUGUGAGAGUGGAAAGUUCACACUGUGACGGUAUCUUACCAGAAAGGGACGGCUAACUACGUGCCAGCAGCCGCGGUAAUACGUAGGUCCCGAGCGUUGUCCGGAUUUAUUGGGCGUAAAGCGAGCGCAGGCGGUUAGAUAAGUCUGAAGUUAAAGGCUGUGGCUUAACCAUAGUACGCUUUGGAAACUGUUUAACUUGAGUGCAAGAGGGGAGAGUGGAAUUCCAUGUGUAGCGGUGAAAUGCGUAGAUAUAUGGAGGAACACCGGUGGCGAAAGCGGCUCUCUGGCUUGUAACUGACGCUGAGGCUCGAAAGCGUGGGGAGCAAACAGG
rnacentral:rRNA from 1 species